GAACACUUGACAGAACCUCUCCGGCACGAUGGUUUUCCGCGGUUCUAUGUCUGUGAUACGCGUCUCUGAUUGUGCCUCGGUUAAAAGUGAGUGACAGUAAUCGCCACCCAACUGCACUGACGAGUCUAAACUUUUAUAAGAUUGACGCAAUGAAAACAUUCGAUACACCUUCAGACAGUGAAGGAUUCCUGGUGGAAACGAGACGACGAAUGUUUCAUGCCGAGUUAUUCAACACGAUUUAUGGAUUUAUGAUAGUAAAAUGAAAUAAGGAAUGAUGAUUCACGUGGAGAAACGUGGAAAUGAUAUUAGUCAGAAUAAUAGAAUUUUAUCGAACGAGUGAAGAAUAUUUGAGAAUAAAAAAUAUUAUUAAUAGAUGUAUUUAGAUUCGAACUAGUUAGGAAAUCUAUUGCAAAAAAUGUUCUUAUAACAAAUACAGAAAGUUUCUUCUUUAUCGUCACAUUAAUAAAUUUAAACAUUUCGUAAAUCAAAGACAAAAAUUCCAAAGUAUGCAUAAUCACUGAAUCAAGUUUAACGCGUGCCAUCAAUUGAUAUUCUCAUAAACUAAAAUCCACUCGGAUGAUCAUCAUUCCAGUGGCAAAUUCACGCGUCGAAAGUACGUCGUUAUGUGGAUAACGUUAUUCAGAACAAGGGUAGGGAGGAGGAGAGGAGCAAGUCGAUCGACUGAAGUUUCAACCGCGCGUAAUGAGAUUAUUCUGUUCUGCCGGGAUGUCAACGCACGCCUAGCUACCGUUGGGCUGACGUGAAACCUGCGCUGAACUUCCGGUUGAAACUUUUACCGGUUAAUAUUCAGUAAAAGGGAAGGGAGGGGGGACAAAAAGAGAGAGAGAACGAAAAGAGUUAUGCUCGACAAUAUGACGCGUGAUAAAAAUAUUAACGAAAACGGGAAACAAUUCCUUCCUCUAUAAUUUUAUCCCCCAUUUUUUUCACCAUUUUUGUCCCUUUUGCCCCUCUCGCAAAAUAAUUUUUCGAUUGAACAUUUUUAAACGUUAAACUAUCACGAUAUAUAUGAAUUUUACUUAUCUAUACUAUUUUAAAAAAGAAACUUUAUUGAGAUAGAUUAAGCGUCAUCAACGUUUCCGUAUCAUGACGCCAACGACAAUGCUUUGACUUUUGACACCGUUCUCGAGUCGUGUCUCGUCCAAUAAAAAAGAUUCAAUGAAAAAGAAACACGAACCGAUACAAAAGCAGAAAACUGUUUGAAGUCAGAGCGCCCUCUACCUAUCGUCUCUCUCUCUCUCUCUCUCUCUCUCUCUCUCUCUCUCUCUCGAUGAGCUAGGAGCCGGCCGACAAAGCGCAAAGAUAGAAGACGAGUUUUUUCAGCCUCCUUCGCGUGUCGAAUCUCUCCCUCCUGUCGUCGAUUCGUUUUCCUUUUAUCACACCGGCUGUUUAUAUUUUCGCAACAGCGCGUUCAACGUAGACUACGUCCUCAUUUACUUUGGAAAUGAAGGCGUUACACAGAGAGAGAGGACAAGAAGGGACGAGGGCGUGCGAGUGGUUUUUUUAUUGGAACGUUCUAUAAAGCCAUUUUGCAUUCUUCUUGCAGAAGACCAGCUACCGAUUUUCCUUCCCUCCGUCUACGCAAUAUACCACUCUCUUUGUCUCUCCCACUCCCUCCUUUCUCGCCUCCAUCCCUCUCCGCCAUCCUCUAUCUCAGCUCCAAUCUUUCUAUCCUACCCCUUCGCAGCCGUUGUUUCCUUCUUUUUCUUCAUCUAUGAACGUAUCCUGAACUGCUUCUACUUACACGGUCCCUCCUGUUCUCCCAAGCAUUGAGCAAAUUACUUCCCGAGUGGCUUCUCCGGCUUGGUUGCAGGCUUCCCCUCCGCGGGAACCGGCAUGCCGUUCUUCUUCUCCCGUCUCGACACCCCGCCAUCUAUUGUUCCAACACGGCGGGAAAACUUCCUCCUUGGAAAUCUGGAUAUAUAUCGGCCGUUAUUAAUCUUGACAUCUCGACGAGAAGAAUUUUCUCCAAGUUUUCAUCAACCGGUUAUUACCGGUGGAGGUUCUUAAUAAAAUCUUCCUGGCCAGCCAGGAAUAUCGGAAAUGUAUUUAUUCCUGUCGACGUGAGGGAACGAAUAUUCGAUUCAAGCUCCAAUGUACAGCCUCCCUUCUAUUUCCUCGUGUGCCGAGGAAAAGGAAACGCGAAGGAACGUCUUGGGGAUUGAUCGCACGACUGUCGAGCUAAUUUUGUCAAACGUGAGACUCGUGAGAAGUUGAGGAACUUGGAGGAAGAAUAAAUUUAGAUUCUGAAUCGUUAUCUGUCGUUAUAGAUCGUUCCGGAAAUAUAUUGAAGUAAUGAGUGA